AUAAAAUUUUGGUAAUAAUAAUUUUUAAAAAAAAUUGUGAAUUAACUAACCUUUCAGGUUCUAGAGUAAUUUAUUAAUCCAAAUUUCCUUGAAGCAUAUUCCCAUGCAAGUCAAGUUGAGGGACUUGAUGGAGGCCAUUUCUGAAAUAGAGUCAGGAGAAGUUAUUUCCAGCCAACGAGAGAUUCUGCAAGCUCCCUAAUUUACCAAUUCCCAAUGGCAAAGGAUGAGGAAAAGAGUUUAUAAGAGAUAUCCAACAAUUCAAGGCUUUUGAAAUCAGCAAUGUUGUCAGGUAGUGUUCCUCAUAUGGAAUUGUUGGACAAGGAGGGUUUCACUACUGACAAACUGCUACCUCAGUUGGAGAAUGUUGUGCAAGUGUUAAUGCAAAGGACAAUACCGAAAUGCAUGAAAAGAUCAUCAUCUCAUAACAGACUCUUUCACAUACGACCGACCACCUCAACUGCAAUGGCAUAUUUUGGUGAACGAAAUUGUUCUGACUCACGUAGAUUCAAGGGAAGAAGAUAGAAGCUGGUUUUCAAGGACCAGGGCCUCCACGGAGAGAAGAAUGAGAAGAAUAAGGGAAGGAACAAUUGUUUAUUCCAUUGAUUGAUGUUGUUAUUACAUAGUAUUAUUUAUACUGAUUUCUCAAUAAUCGAAUUUAUCUUUUUGUGCUACAGAAUAUCAGGAAAUGGUUAAGUUUGUCUAUUCCUACCCGACCAGCAUCAUUCUUCCAGAUAUGAUGCACCUGCUUGUUUCACACCUAAUCCUUGAGGUAAGUGAGCCUCGUAAUUGCUGUCUUGGUCUUGUUUUCUAAUUGCACCCCCUUGCUUCUGUUGCUUGCUUGCUGCAAGUUCCCACUGAUUCAAAUUCCAACAGUUCUGCAAAUAAAAUUGAAGAAGAAGCUAGAGGUGGGAAAUACUCAAGUCAUUCUCUUGAAAAAGUUGCUGCAAUGAUAUGCAACAAAAUAUUAAUUAGUGUUCACAUGAACAUUUCUCCCAUGAAAAUAUAUAUUUUCUGACUUUGUAAUCUCUUUAUAGUAUGCAUGGAAAAUUAAUUUUCUGAUUU